UGCCCCAGUCACUUUCGGUUUGCAGCUAGCAGCUAGGAGCAGCUCAGACACCCUGACGGGAGCACCUGCAGGAUGGGCGCUCUGCCCUAGCAGGCAGCUGGAGAAACCGCCUUCUCGCUGAUUGAGGUCAGCGAGGCCAGGAAACCGAGAGGCCAGGGCUUCAGGGCAGGAUUCCCCCAAUCCCGAGGCCCCUUCCCCUAGGGACGGAGGUCCUUCCAGACUGCCUCCCGCCAGCUUCACUUUAACCUCAGAUGAUUGGCUCCUAGAGGUGGCGAAACCUGCUCUGCUGUGGGAUUGGAGGAGGCGCCGGAGGGACCGCGUCCCUGAGUCCUCCAUUUCUGCCAUUUGUCUCCGGGCUUCGCUCUCCAGCUUCGAAGUCCUGGUGGUCUGCUGUGCAGGUCUGAAGACCCUGAGGGAGCAGGCCUGGCUCCUGAGCUCCAGGGAAUGCCACAUCUUGGCCCUGGUGAGAACUGCAGCUUCUCCCUGUGACCCCCUCUUCAACCAGCUGUCAGCUCCACCUCAGGAGAAGCCUGCCUGGGUUUCUGACCAGAUCACCACA
rnacentral:lncRNA from 1 species